rnacentral:rRNA from 1 species
GAUGAACGCUAGCGGCAGGCUUAACACAUGCAAGUCGAGGGGUAUAGUUCUUCGGAAUUAGAGACCGGCGCACGGGUGCGUAACGCGUAUGCAAUCUACCUUUCACAGAGGGAUAGCCCCAGAGAAAUUUGGAUUAAUACCUCAUAGUAUAGCAGUUUCGCAUGAAACCACUAUUAAAGUCACAACGGUGAAAGAUGAGCAUGCGUCCCAUUAGCUAGUUGGUAAGGUAACGGCUUACCAAGGCAACGAUAGGGGUAGGGUACCGUGAGAGGGAGAUCCCCCACACUGGUACUGAGACACGGACCAGACUCCUACGGAGGCAGCAGUGAGGAAUAUUGGACAAUGGCGCAAGCCUGAUCCAGCCAUGCCGCGUGCAGGAUGACGGUCCUAUGGAUUGUAAACUGCUUUAUCAGGAAGAAACACUACUUCGUGAAGUAGCUUGACGGUACUGUAAGAAUAAGGAUCGGGCUAACUCCGUGCCAG